GGCCAGCCACCGUCCGGAAGGACUUCCCACAAGGAAGACAAGCAAAGUUAGGAGGGCCUGGAGUGGCAGGUGGGGGCUGUGGUAGGGCGGAGUCAGCCUGGGGCAGCUCGGCAGGCACAUCCUGGGACUGGGUGGCUACAGGGGGCCCCGGGCAUGGCUGGUGCUCCAGGAGGAGCUCCUCGCUGCUGAAGCCCUGCUCGCAGCCAUCGCAGCGGUACACUAGCUCCACUGUAGUCUCAGCAGCAGCCAAAAAAAGCUCGGGCACCACGGGUGGGGGCUGGGGUGGUGGGGCUGGAGGCUCAGGCGGGCUACGGGGCUGCAAGUAGGCAUCAGAGACCAGAACCUUGGUGUCAGCUCUGCUGGUCUCCCCUGGGGGGGCGGGGGCAGGGGCGGGGCCGGGGGCAGGGCCGUGGGUGCGGUGGUGCAGCAGCAGGUUGGAGGAGUGUGUGAAGGUCUUGGGGCAGAGUGGGCAACGGAAGGGGCGCUCGCCCGUGUGCACCCGCUGGUGCUGCCGCAGAUUGGUGCUCUGAGUAAAGCUCUUCCCACAAAUGCCACAGGUGUAAGGGCGUUCUCCUGUGUGCACAUGCCGGUGGCGCCGCAAGCUGGAGGAGUUCUUGAAGGCCUUGGGGCAGUCAGGGCACGGGUAGGGCCGCUCACCGGUAUGCUGUCUCAAGUGGUAUUGGUAAUGGGAUGACCACUUGAAGGCCAGACCACACUGGCCGCAGGUGAAGGCCCGCAGGCCUGUGUGCACACUGCGGUGGAUCUGCAGCAAGGAAGAGCGCUUGAAGGCUUUGGGGCAGUCUGGGCACUGAUAGGGCCGCUCGCCUGUAUGGCCCCGCUGGUGGUAGAGGAGGGCUGAGGAACCCUUGAAGGCUUUGGGGCAGUCCGGGCAUUUAUAGGGCCGUUCACCUGUGUGAGUGCGCUGAUGGUGCAGGAGCCGAGAUGACCACCUGAAGGACUUGCCGCAUUCCCCACACUCAUACUGAGCAGCUGGGUCUUUCCUUUAAGCAUAUCUCCUAGCUGCAGAUGGCUGACUCUCCCUUCUGUGACCACCUUAGCCUUCGGGCUGGAUCCUUCUAAACCUGGAGGUGGAGAAUCAGAGCUCAGUCAAGAACUGCUGUCUUCC
rnacentral:lncRNA from 1 species